rnacentral:rRNA from 1 species
UACGGGGGGGGCAAGCGUUGUUCGGAAUUACUGGGCGUAAAGGGCUCGUAGGCGGCCAACUAAGUCCGACGUGAAAUCCCAAGGCUUAACCUUGGAACUGCGUCGGAUACUGGAUGGCUUGAAUUCGGGAGAGGGAUGCAGAAUUCCAGGUGUAGCGGUGAAAUGCGUAGAUAUCUGGAGGAACACCGGUGGCGAAGGCGGCAUCCUGGACCGGUAUUGACACUGAAGCGCGAAAGCCAGGGGAGCAAACGGG